rnacentral:rRNA from 1 species
ACACAUUUGCUUUCUUAUUCGUAAUCGAUUAUUAUUCGAUGAUUGAGUUCAAAUCCUUUUUUGAAGCUUUCGGGGUAGUUCGAAGCAGGGCCUUAAAUAGCGUUUAUAGUAACUCAUUCUAUCUUUCUUAUGGGUUACACCUUGACCUGAUUUGUUAGGAGGGACUGUUGAGAAUAUGUUUUUUAGAGGUAUUCUUGAAACGGCGGUAUAUAGACUUUUAAAGAAAGUGAGAUUUAUCGGGGAUUGUCGAUUAAAGAACAAGUUCCUUUGAUUAGGGCUAAUGCCGCCAAACUACAUUGGUUUUUCUUGGGGAUACUACCUGAUGGGAGAGGUA